AAAGCGCAGUAGGGGGCUCUCGCGGUUGGGGAACAUAGAUGGCUGGAGACAGAAUCUAGAGCCUUCAAAUAAUGUGGAGAUGUUUCCACCUUCAGGUCAGUGGGACCAGACAAGGGGAGUGGUGGUUGUCUCUGCCUGGGAAACUGACCAUCUUUGUUUUUGUAAUUCUUCAGGUUCCACUGGGCUGAUUCCCCCCUCCCACUUUCAAGCUCGGCCCCUUUCAACUCUGCCAAGAAUGGCUCCCACCUGGCUCUCAGACAUUCCCCUGGUCCAACCCCCAGGCCAUCAAGAUGUCUCAGAGAGGCGGCUAGACACCCAGAGACCUCAAGUGACCAUGUGGGAACGGGAUGUUUCCAGUGACAGGCAGGAGCCAGGGCGGAGAGGCAGCUGUCCUCUUUGACACAGGCUCACGAGGAGGCUCUUUCCAGUUUGACCAGCAAGGCUGAGGGCUUGGAGAAGUCUCUGAGUAGUCUGGAAACCAGAAGAGCAGGGGAAGCCAAGGAGCUGGCCGAGGCUCAGAGGGAGGCUGAGCUGCUUCGGAAGCAGCUGAGGUAGGUGGGCGGAUGCCGACGGGAGCCCAGCAAUUAGUGAUGUGGUGGAUCUGCAGGGCGCCCCACUGAUGGCU
rnacentral:sRNA from 1 species